UACAGAGGGGGCAAGCGUUAUUCGGAAUUAUUGGGCGUAAAGGGCGCGUAGGCGGCCAUUCAAGUGACGGGUGAAAGCCCUCGGCUUAACCGAGGAACUGCCUGUCAGACUGGAUGGCUUUGAGACCGGGAGAGGUGAGUGGAAUUCCCAGUGUAGCGGUGAAAUGCGUAGAUAUUAGGAAGAACACCGGUGGCGAAGGCGGGUCUCUGGGCCGUAACUGACGCUGAGGAGCGAAAGCGUGGGGAGCGAACAGG
rnacentral:rRNA from 1 species